AGAAUGCUCAGUUAUCCGUCGGCGAAUCUCUACUUUUUCAUCUACUAUCCUUUUCUUUUUUUUUUUUUUUUUUUUUUUUUUUUUUUUUUUUUUUUUUAAAUUACUUUUUAUAUAUAUUAAAUUCAUCCCAAACUGGGCUUUGGCUUUUGGGCCAGCGAAAUUACACGGAUACAAAAUAGGAAAAGCCCAAAUCGAAGAUUGACGGAAAAAGAAGAUCUGAUCCGGACGGUACACCGGAAAACACGAAAUCUAACCUAGAAGACCGACGCUAACAAGGACGACUCCAUAGCAACAGAGUAUCCGACGACAAGCAAUCAGCCGGAGUUAGCGGUUCUUGCCUCAAGCCAUCGCCGGAAACACGCCACAACCGGAACAUUCCUCUCGGAAAGGUAGAUCUGCCACAACCGAGACCUCUCCUCUCUUCUCCCCUACCUAGCAAGAAGAGAGAACACAAAUCUAACCCUUACCUCCUCCGUCAAGCACCCUCGAACCAACCCGAGCAAACCGAACUUCAGAUCCGGCGAAGAGAAAGCCAAACACGGCGGCGGCAGAUGGAAGAGGCUCAAACUAUCCACAAACCACACAGAUCCGGCCAAAGAAACCCGCAUCUAGCCAUCUAAGAUCCUGCCAAAGAUCUACCGUUAAUCUCUUCGCAAAGUGAUGAAACCCACCAAUCCAAAGCCCAACUUCCGCCGCAAGCCAGAGCUACAUCUCUGAAGCCACCGAGCCGAGAGAGACAGUCCCAGAACCGCCAGCGUCCUUGACCAGCAGAACGCAGGAACCGCACCUCCAAGCAGCCGAGAAGAAGAGCCACCAACUUGCAUCGAGCAGAGGAUCCAACCACACCACACAUCACCGGAGAAGAAGGCGCCCACCACCGCUUCAAACCCUGACCCAGCCACCGGCGAUGAAGAACAUAAAGCUACGGCGGCUGCGACUCGAGAAAACCCUAGAUCUAAAACAGAGGAGAGAAAAGAGAGAAAAGGAAAGGAACGAUUGUCCUCCUUUUUUUUUUUUUUUUACUUCUUUAAAGGUUGCUACUUCACUAUCCUUUUCUUAUAUGCAUGAUGACCUGACAAAUGAAAAGUUAUUUUCGGGCAUUGAGACAUGAGUUCUAAGAAAAUGGAUUCGAAUAAUCAACUAAACAAAAUAUCGAUUCUACCGGAUGUAUUUCUGGUUUUGGUCUUCUCUCUUCACUUGUCAUUUU
rnacentral:lncRNA from 1 species